CCUACGGGGGGCUGCAGUGGGGAAUCUUGGUCAAUGGGCGAAAGCCUGAACCAGCGAUUCUGCGUGAAGGAUGAAGCCUCGCGGGGUGUAAACUUCUUUUUUGGGGGAAGACGAAUGACGGUACCCCACGAAUAAGGGACGGCUAACUACGUGCCAGCAGCCGCGGUAAUACGUAGGUCCCAAGCAUUAUCCGGAUUUACUGGGCGUAAAGAGUCUGUAGCUGGUUAUAUAAGUCUAUUUUCAAAUCCCUUGGCUCAACUAAGGAAAGGGAAUGGAUACUAUAUAUCUGGAGGUUAUUAGGGGUUAGUAGAAUUCCCGGUGGAGGGGUGAAAUCCGUUGAUAUUGGGAGGAAUGCCGAAAGCGAAAGCAGCUAACUAUAAUUAUCCUGACAGUGAGAGACGAAAGCAUGGGUAGCAAACGGGAUUAGAUACCCCGGUAGUC
rnacentral:rRNA from 1 species